UACGUAGGCAGCGAGCGUUGUUCGGAGUUACUGGGCGUAAAGGGUGCGUAGGCGGUUGUUUAAGUUUGGUGUGAAAUCUCCCGGCUCAACUAGGAGGGUGCGCCGAAUACUGAAUGACUAGAGUGCGGGAGAGGAUAGUGGAAUUCCUGGUGUAGCGGUGAAAUGCGUAGAUAUCAGGAGGAACACCGGUGGUGUAGACGGCUAUCUGGACCGUAACUGACGCUGAGGCACGGAAAGCGUGGGUAGCAAACAGG
rnacentral:rRNA from 1 species